ensembl:lncRNA
GCCAACUCCUGAACAUGCCCAGAAAAAAAUGUCCCUCCCCUGUGCCCCGCUCCGCCACAGCACUGUCACUGGGUUUUGUGUUUCACGUGUAUCUGCUACUCUGCUGGACUAAGAAGAACUAGGGGAGAGUGUCUUCCUCACCCUUGGAUCCCAGAGGAUGCACAAGGCCUGGCCCAGAGCAGAUAAGACCCUAGGGAGCCACAAGAUGGAAGGAAUUGAGUUCCUGAAAUACCAUGUGGAACACAGCUGCCCACUGACCAGAUUCUUCUGCUUCAAACUAUCACAUGAGCAAGGAAUCAUUUUCUGUUGAGUUUGAGCCAAAAUGCAUAUUGACGUCUGCCUGUUACAGUAGCCAGCCCAUCCAAAUUAAUUGACUGCUUCUUGAUCUUACGAUGUAUUUAACCUUUAGCAUGGCUGACAAACUCCCGUGGAUGUAGCUCUUUCAGUCUCGUCGCAGUAGGUGAAGCCUCAGGCUCUGGAGCUGGUCUACAUGGUUCAUGUUUGAGCUCGCAAACCAGCUUUGUGACUUUGGAUAAAGUACUUGAGUUCUCUGUGUCUGUUUCUCUUCCUCCAGAAGAAGAGAAUUUUGUUAAGAACUCCGAACAGUCUGGGAAUUUACCCUACUCACCAGCCAGCUUGCCUCUCUUCCAUGGAUGCUGGCAGAAGACACAAGACUCUCAGGUCAGAGGAAAAGGGUGCUAUCAUUCCCAGCACAGCAGAUGACAUGAACUUCAUGUUUGAAUUGGUUCCCCUUAUCCUGCAAGAUCCCCAGGGUGAGGCGAUGCAAAGCCAGGUAGAUGCUGCACACGUGGGGCAUUUGCAUCACAGCUGAAAACCCUG